GAUGAAGAACGCAGCGAAAUGCGAUACGUAAUGUGAAUUGCAGAAUUCCGCGAAUCAUCGAAUCUUUGAACGCACAUUGCGCCCGCCAGUAUUCUGGCGGGCAUGCCUGUCUGAGCGUCAUUUCAACCCUCAUGCCCCUAGGGCGUGGUGUUGGGGAUCGGCCAAAGCCCGCGAGGGACGGCCGGCCCCUAAAUCUAGUGGCGGACCCGUCGUGGCCUCCUCUGCGAAGUAGUGAUAUUCCGCAUCGGAGAGCGAUGAGCCCCUGCCGUUAAACCCCCAACUUUCCAAGGUUGACCUCAGAUCAGGUAGGAAUACCCGCUGAACUUAAGCAUAUCAAUAAGCGGAGGA
rnacentral:misc_RNA from 1 species